rnacentral:misc_RNA from 2 species
AACGCACCUUGCGCUCCUUGGUAUUCCGAGGAGCAUGCCUGUUUGAGUGUCAUUAAAUUCUCAACCUUCCAUGUUUUAUUAGCAUGGUUAGGCUUGGAUGUGGGGGUUGCGGGCUUCAUCAAUGAUGUCGGCUCUCCUUAAAUGCAUUAGCGGAACUUUUGUGGACCGUCUAUUGGUGUGAUAGUUAUCUACGCCGUGGAUGUGAUGCAGCUUUAUGAAGUUCAGCUUCUAACCGUCCAUUGACUUGGACAAUUUUGACAAUUUGACCUCAAAUCAGGUAGGACUACCCGCUGAACUUAA